AUGGAUGGGGCUGAGGCUAACCAUCAAGAUCAGGAAGAAACGACGCAGCUUCAUCCUAAUGAUCUUGGUCAACUGGAAGAUGAGAAAGAACCGCACCGAGAUCGUUGUGUUGGUGAGGGAUCCGCACCAAAGUGUAAGAAACUAAAGAUGCAUAGUCAUAACUUGCCUAUUCAAUUCCCAUCCAUGCUUUUCACAAACCACUUUGAUAACCUAAUCCGACGUCGUGAGGUGCAAAACAUCCCUCGUGCACAAAUGCAGAGAGGAAAGACGGUUGGGGUACCAGCAACUAUGAGAUUCUACAGGCACAACAACAUACUAGCAUGUUGGUGCACUUUGAUUAACCAAAUAAAUCAGUUGAUGGAGAUGGUCGUGAAGCAUAUCCAAGCAUGCGACAAGAAGCCACCACCACCUUCAAAGGACCAGGCAUGA
rnacentral:rRNA from 1 species